GAUCAGCCCAGAGGGGCAUCUAACUUUCAAUCAGAGGGUCCUGGGUUCGAGCCCCAGCGCGCUCACCA
rnacentral:tRNA from 1 species